AGCUCCAAUAGCGUAUGCUAACGUUGUUGCAGUUAAAAGGCUCGUAGUCGAAUUUAUGAUCUUGUGCACCUGGUCCUCUGCCUAGCGCAGUGCGUAUUAGUGUGUAUGGGUCAUCCUUCUGAAAAACACCUCUGCUCUUCACUGAGUGGUUGUGGGAUUCAGUUCAUUUACUGUGAGUAAAUCAGAGUGUUUAAAGCAGGCUUCAUGCCUGUAUGUUCUAGCAUGGAAUAAUAAGAUAGGACUUUGGUUCUAUUUUGUUGGCUUCUAGGACUAAAGUAAUGAUUGAAAGGGAUAGUUGGGGGUGCUAGUAUUUAACGGUCAGCGGUGAAAUGCGUGGACCCGUUAAAGACUAACUUAUGCGAAAGCAUUCACCAAGGAUAUUUUCUUUGAUCAAGAACGA
rnacentral:rRNA from 1 species